UACGUAGGGGGGCAAGCGUUGUCCGGAAUCAUUGGGCGUAAAGCGCGUGUAGGCGGGUCGGUAAGUCCGCUCUGAAAGCCCGGGGCUCAACCCCGGGAGGCGGGUGGAUACUGUCGACCUCGAGUCCGGAAGAGGCGAGUGGAAUUCCUGGUGUAGCGGUGAAAUGCGCAGAUAUCAGGAGGAACACCAAUGGCGAAGGCAGCUCGCUGGGACGGUACUGACGCUGAGACGCGAAAGCGUGGGGAGCAAACAGG
rnacentral:rRNA from 1 species